rnacentral:misc_RNA from 1 species
CUGAAGUACUGAAGAUUGUAGCUGGCAUCUUUGGAUGUAUGUGCUCAUCUUCUCUUCAAUCUUACCACCUGUGAACCUUUUGUAGUCUGUGGAUGUCAGCUCUCAACUAGCAAUAGUUGGAUUGAGGGGUUGCCUUACAAGCUCUCCUUGGAUGUCCACAGUCUAUGUUUAUCCAUAUACUCUGUAUGUUUAGAAUGUAUAUCAUGGGUCUUUGACCUAUAAAACCUUAUA